GAGGAGCUCCGUCCGUGCCUCAUCCCGCCCCCGCCCCAGCCCCAGCCCUCGACUCCCAGCCCCUGUCCAGUCAGGUGAGGCGCCCAGAGUACCUCGUGAGCAGCACCAUCGCCUUGCUGACAGUGACUUGUGUGUCCCCCAGGAACUCACGACGACGAUGUUGUGGAGCCGGUGGGAGUGAGAAGACUGAGGCAAGCCCCGGCUGGGGACAUGAGGACGAGGCGGCCCCAGUACCUGAGGUGGAGGUGGAGGAGGAGGCGGGCCAGCCCCGUGAAAAUGGCCAGGAGGAGUCCUUAGCCAUCGCCUGGGCUGAGCCGGAAGACGAGCCUGGCCCCAAGGUGGACGGGGCGGACGAUGAAAUCUCUUGGAGCUUGGAGAGUGUGUGUGAGAGCGACCUCGCUGACAGCAACCUCGCAGAAAGUGAUCGAGACUCGGUGGCGGAGCGCACCGACUGCCGCCAGGAUGAGGAGGCUGCAGACUGUUGCUUUGGGAGCAAAGGAUCGUGCUUCAAAAGUCUGAGGACAAGUUUGUCCUCUGCGAGCUUGGCUAGAAUAAUUCCCCGGUGGCCACACAACAGGGUGCACCUUGCCACUGAGCCAGAUGAAGCAACGCACGCCGACGAUGUUGUGGAGGCCGGUGGGAGUGAGAAGACCGAGGCAAAGCCCCGGGCUGGGGGACAUGAGGACGAGGCGGCCCCAGUACCUGAGGUGGAGGUGGAGGAGGAGGCGGGCCAGCCCCGUGAAAAUGGCCAGGAGGAGUCCCAGCCAUCGCCUGGGCUGAGCCGGAAGACGAGCCUGGCCCCAAGGUAAGCUCACCUUUCUUGAUGUGAGGUUGGAAAAGGUGCCUCCUUUCUUCUUGGAUGUACCUCCUUCAGAAAUGGAAAUCUGAGAAAGUCCACUGUAGAUGAUAUAUGCAGAUUGCUGUGCGGAGGACUGUUGAGUCCAAGUUUGGUACCAAGCAGUAGCUCCUUCCCGGGGCAUUUGCAAAAGGGACCGCAUCAGUUCCCAAGUGUGCAGUAGGGAGCAUAUGUCUUUGAAGAAGCCGGAAUGUUGUUUUGUCUUGUUUGUCUUUUUUUGCCUUUUCUAGGGCCCCUCCCGCGGCAUAUGGAGAUGAGGUUCCCAGGCUAGGGGUCUGAUCGGAGCUGUAGCCACCGCCUACGCCAGAGCCACAGCAACGUGGGAUCCGAGCCUCGUCUGCCACCUACACCACAGCUCAGGGCAGCGCCGGAUACUUCACCCACUGAGCAAGGCCAGGGAUCGAACCCGCAACCUCAUGGUUCUUGGUCCGAUUCGUUAACCACUGUGCCCGAUGGGAAGGCCAAAGAAGCCUGAAUGUUUGUUAAAUGUACGAGGACUUGGGAGAUCUUCCAUGAAAAGCUGGCGCCUUUUCCAAAGGGGUCUUCGCCGUGUUCUUUUGGGGAAACGGACUCAACGCUGCCUUCUGUCUGCGUGCCUGCGGUCCCCAACGGCAGGAAGACCUGUGGCCGCAGUGCAGAGGAUGCUGUGACACUCACCGUGUUUUCUCUUGUCUCAUCACAGGUGGACGGGGCGGACGAUGAAAUCUGUGAGUAUUCUGGAGCCCGGCUCUGCUGAGGAGAAGUCCAGGUGUUGAGGAAAUGGGGGGGGGGCCCGCGAGGGAGGCGGGGUGGGGGGGCUCUCCUGCUCCUUUGGUUGCAGAGACACCCUGAUUCUGGGUUCCUCCUGGGAAUGAGGGUGAAGGAUGGGGUGAAAGAGACGGACUUCCCAAGAAGGGCCACCCCAGGUUCUAGGGUCCCUGGACGAAAGGAGGCUCUUUGUAUGGCGUGGGUAGGUGUCGGGGGACACGGCCGGG
rnacentral:lncRNA from 9 species